AUUGAACGCUGGCGGCAUGCCUUACACAUGCGAGUCGAACGGCAGCACGGGAGCAAUCCUGGUGGCGAGUGGCGAACGGGUGAGUAAAGCAUCGGAACGUGCCCAGUCGUGGGGGAUAACGUAGCGAAAGCUACGCUAAUACCGCAUACGAUCUGUGGAUGAAAGCGGGGGACCGUAAGGCCUCGCGCGAUUGGAGCGGCCGAUGUCAGAUUAGGUAGUUGGUGAGGUAAAGGCUCACCAAGCCGACGAUCUGUGGCUGGUCUGAGAGGACGACCAGCCACACUGGGACUGAGACACGGCCCAGACUCCUACGGGAGGCAGCAGUGGGGAAUUUUGGACAAUGGGCGCAAGCCUGAUCCAGCAAUGCCGCGUGCAGGAUGAAGGCCCUCGGGUUGUAAACUGCUUUUGUACGGAGCGAAACGGCUUCCACUAAUACUGGGGGCUAAUGACGGUACCGUAAGAAUAAGUACCGGCUAACUACGUGCCAGCAGCCGCCGUAACAC
rnacentral:rRNA from 1 species